rnacentral:lncRNA from 13 species
CAUUUCUUGUUUUUCUCCUGGGAAUAGCUACAGCACUUCUGUGUUGCAAGGCAAACUUGAGCCUCUUUUAAUGAAACUGGACGUGUGAAAUGAGGUACACAAAGCCAAAGGCCAGCUGGACCUGUGAUCUCUGAAUGGGUCUUCACAUUCUUCCCAGGAAGAUGAAUGGGAAUCACUUUUUCCAGGGAAGCUGCAUCAGCUGGGAAUUUGCUUUAGAAAAUGUGCUUUCUGCUCCUCUCAGAGCCAAAAUUCCUACACAUUUCUUGUAAGUCCUUCUUAGAUAAGGACCAUGUUAAACUAAGUGACAGUGAAGCAAAAUGACAAUCCAGGAAUAAAUUUUCCUGUACACAUUAUCCUUCAUCCACGUGGGUGGUUUCUCACUGGCACACAGGGGUGAGGAAGGAACCCAAAUGCAUCACUGUACAUAAAGUCACACGUGCUGAGGGGUGAACAAAUCUCAGAGAUACUGGAAACCUCCUCUGAAGACCCAAUUCAGGGAAAGCCUGAGCUGCUUUGUGUUUCUGGGGGUGAAGAAGCUCAGGAUCUUCCACAGAUGCUCCGAGGCAGUAGGAUUGUGCCUGAGUCUCGCUCUGGAAAUGCCAGUGGCUCAGCUGAGAGCUGUGGCAAUGAUUUACAUUGCACUGAGAAGGGCCACAGUCCUGCAAGGGUCUUUCAUCAGGAGCAAAGGCAGCCUGGAGACCAAUUUCCAGAUGAGUGCAAAGCUCAGUUCUUCAUCACUGUGUUAAUAGGGAGGAUCGUUUAAUGGAGCAGAGCUAAUGAGCAUUUUCAAUGAAAUAUCAAUAAAACAGACAGAAGAUGAAUAUUUGGGAGAGAAACUAUUUUCAUGUCCAUGUAUGUUCCUGUGUGUUUUGCAUUCUUUUGAUUUUGAAGGAUGUCCAUCUUCCACCCCACCACAAAUUUCCUCUUUUCUUACUUGUUAAAUUUAGACCAAAAGGAAGAUUUGAGCCUCAAAAAUAGAGUUAACAACACACCAUACAAAUACUAUGACAACUGUGGGAAUUUGUGUUAGAAAUUAUUUUGAACUAAUUGUUCCUGUUAAGUGUCAAAUACAUAUUUAUUUAAGAGUGAGUAAUGAAAUAAACCUCCUGGGGGAAAAAAGAGACUGGUCCUUCUUUCACAAGAGAAAAUUUAUGCUACUUGUGCCAUUUCUUUGCUAUAUAUGUUGCAUUUUGCCUAUUAUAAAAUAAAUCACAGUAGGUUUGUAACAAAAUUGAGGUGUUUGGUAAGCCACAAGAAAAACUCCAGUGAGCACUGCAGAUAAAAUUUCCCUCUUUCACAGAUAAAUAGUCGAAAUACUUGGAUAUAACCAGGACUUGAAUGGAGAGUCUCGAGAUCAGAAACUCCAUAUCGAAAGCUUGGAAACCUCAUUCUCACACCCUUUAGCCCUGCAAUGUUUAUGUGUUACUGGUUUUGGGAAGGCUGUCUGAGCUAAAAUAUUUCUCUCGAGCUUCUCCCCAGUCCCCAGGUACCAAGCUCGGCUCUUACCUGUCGAAAUUCCCCCAGCAAAGUGCAGAACAGGUAAAACUAAAGAAGAGGAGGCUGCAGUUCUCAGCUUAAAUGGGCUCUCAGAGGGUGGCAACGCGAGUGGAGACUCCAGGUUGCAGUUUUCAGUUUAAAUGGGCUCUUAGAGGGUGACAGUGUGGGUGGAGACCCCAGGUGAGGCUGCUUGGGGCAAUUCAGUGCCCUCAGCACCCCAAUGCCAAAACUGAAAACCCUCAAUACCUCAUGGUGGCA